rnacentral:miRNA from 4 species
AAGCGAGCAAAGAAGUAGUAUU